CAAGGAAUAUUGCCCAAUGGACGCAAGUCUGAGGCAGCAACGCCGCGUGAAGGACGAAGGCCUUCGGGUCGUAAACUUCUUUUAAGAGGGAAGAGAAAGGACGGUACCUCUUGAAUAAGCUUCGGCUAACUACGUGCCAGCAGCCGCGGUAAUACGAAGGGUGCAAGCGUUACUCGGAAUUACUGGGCGUAAAGCGUGCGUAGGUGGUUCGUUAAGUCUGAUGUGAAAGCCCUGGGCUCAACCUGGGAAUGGCAUUGGAUACUGGCGAUCUAGAGUGCGGUAGAGGGGUGUGGAAUUCCCGGUGUAGCAGUGAAAUGCGUAGAUAUCGGGAGGAACAUCUGUGGCGAAGGCGACACCCUGGACCAGCACUGACACUGAGGCACGAAAGCGUGGGGAGCAAACAGGAUUAGAUACCCUGGUAGUCCACGCCCUAAACGAUGCGAACUGGAUGUUGGGUGCAACUUGGCACUCAGUAUCGAAGCUAACGCGUUAAGUUCGCCGCCUGGGAAGUACGGUCGCAAGACUGC
rnacentral:rRNA from 1 species